rnacentral:rRNA from 1 species
UACGUAGGGUGCAAGCGUUGUCCGGAAUUAUUGGGCGUAAAGAGCUCGUAGGCGGUUUGUUGCGUCGGCUGUGAAAUCCCGAGGCUCAACCUCGGGUCUGCAGUCGAUACGAGCAAACUAGAGUGUUGCAGGGGAGACUGGAAUUCCUGGUGUAGCGGUGGAAUGCGCAGAUAUCAGGAGGAACACCGGUGGCGAAGGCGGGUCUCUGGGCCGGUACCGACGCUGAGGAGCGAAAGCGUGGGGAGCGAACAGG